GUCAUUGUGGGGGAGGGGUUGGGCCAGCCAGGGCAGGCAGGGACAGCCCCUCUGAUGAGGAGGCCACUGGGCUGAGACCAAUGAAUGAGAUGGAGCCAGCCACGUGGUGAGCCAGAAGAGGGCAUCACAGGUCCAUGAAAUGGGCUCCCGAAGUCCAACCUCACAGACCCCAUAGGAAAGCAGAUGGAAUCUCCAAGGGCACCAGCUAUACAUGGUGGUGGAAGGACCAACGCAUGCUCUGAAUGCCACUGCGGACCACAGGGCUUGAGUCUGGGGGAGCCUGGCUGCCCAGAGGUGGCAGAUGACAUGAAGAAAUAACCAUGUAAGGGCUGGCUGUGUAUGAGAGCAAGCAUUGGGAAGGAUGAAUGCCAACUAUGUUCCAGGAACUUCCACUGUUCUCACACACCCAGGUGAGUGGUGUUCAGGUGGGUGGCACCCAGGUGAGUGACAUCCCAGUUGAGUGGCACCCAGGUGAGUAGCAUCCAGGUGAGUGACACCUAGGUGAGUGACAUUCAGGUUAGUGGCGUCUGUGUGAGUGGCAUCAUCCAGGUGAGUAGCUUCCAGGUGAGUGGCACCCAGGUGAGUGGCAUUCGGGUGAGUGGCAUUAUCCAGGUGACACCUGGGUGAGUGGCAUCCAGGUGAGUGAUAUCAUCCAGGUAAGUGGCACCUAGGUGACAUCCAGGUGAGUGACGACAUCCAGGUGAGUGACAUCAUCCAGGUAAAUGGCACCCAGGUGAGUAGCAUUCAGGUGAGUGACACCCAGGCGAGUGGCAUCCACGUGACUAGCAUUGUCCAGGUGCAUAACACCCAGGUGAGUGGCACCCAGUUGAGUGGUGCCCAAGUGAGUCACAUCCAGGUAAGUGGGGUCCAGGUGGUGGCACCCAGGCGAGUGGUGCCCAGGUGAGUGACAGCCAGGUGAAUGGUGUCCAGGUGAGUGGCAUCACCCAGGUGAAUGGUGUCCAGGUGAGUGGCAUCCAGGUAAGUGGUGUCCAGGUGGUGGCACCCAGGUGAGUGGUGUCCAGGUGAGGGGCAUCACCCAGGUGAAUGGUGUCCAGGUGAGUGGCAUCCAGGUGGGUGGUACCGUCGACGUGACAAUAGCUAAAAAUUAUUGGGCUCAUUGUGGACAGGCACUGUGCCGAGCUUGACAUCACUGAACUCAGUUCAUCCUCGCCAGGAGCUUGUGGGCCGUCCCUAGAUCAGAAUCCGAGGAGAAAGGACUUCCACACGGCAGCCAGCGAGCUGGAGGGCGGCCUCCUGCCACCACCAGGCUCCCUAACCCAGUCCUGGAUAUCUGUGAAAGAAUGAGUGGAUCCCCACAGGCCAGCCCUGACUUCCCACAGCUAUCCCCAAACACACUCGUUUACACUGAAGCACCAGGAGAUCAGAACCUUCUGGAAUCUUAAUAUGCGAGGACUCGGUGGAGAAGGCGGCACUGAAGAAGAGUCGUCCCUAGGCCAGGCUGGAGGGAAACUCAAGACGGCGGCCUGGCCCUCCUGGGUGGCGGAAGUGGGAGCAGCAGGAGCCCUGGCGGAUCCGGGAGGCCAGAAGAGCGGAAGCUUCCUCCCCUCUCAGGACAGCCACAAGGACUUUCGGGGGUCGUGGCAGCUGCUCCACUUCCAACUUCCAGAUCCCUCUCACUUUCCUCUUCCCACCAACUCCAACCUGGGACCAAGCAGGGGAAAGCAGCUGCAGCCCAGCUUGACGCCCCUGCAAAUGGAGACCUGUGCACCUGGUUGUGAGCAUUUUAAAGGGUGUCACACAGGGCAUACCCUUCGGUGCCUGGAUUCCUUUGAUGAAAGGGCAAAGCCUUGAACCUAAGUCAUCUUCGAGUCCUCAGCACUUCACCCAGAGCCUGGCACACAGUAGGAGCACAGAAAGGUUUACAUCCAGCAGGAGUUGGCCCUGAGCUCUGAGUCCAGAUCAUUGCUCUUGGCUGAAGCAGCCUGUCUACUCACAAAGAUGAGCAUGGUCCCUGCCACGAGGAAACUCGUGGUCCUGUGGACUGCGGUGUGGAGGGAAAGCUUGGGAUUCUGAGCCUGAUAAUGCACCAUUACAUCCCCACUCACUCGGGCUGUGUGAACCCAGCAAGUCACAGGAUCACUGGGUGGUGAAAGAAAGAAACACUCACAGAAGCGUCUGUGCUUGGAGAGCCAUCUGGUCCGUCAUUGUGACUGCUGCUCUCAUUGCUAUCAUGGGUGUCACCAUUGCCAUCACUCAAGGACUUCUCUCCAGGCCCCGAAGCCAAGCUGGUGCCUGGUUCCUCUGGGUUGGGAGAGGGGCUGGGCAUGGACAGGAGGAGGGAAAAGGGACCUGUGCUAGCAGGUGAUGCCAUCCAAGACAUCUGCAUCCUAAUCCCUGGAACCUGGGAUUCCACUAGGUGCCAUGGCAAAGAGGGAUUAAGGUGGCAGGUGGAGUGAAGGUUGCUAAUCAGCCGACCUUAAAGUAGGGAGAUGAUCCUGAAUGAGACAAAAGAGAGAA
rnacentral:lncRNA from 1 species